rnacentral:rRNA from 1 species
UACGGGGGGUGCGAGCGUUGUCCGGAAUCACUGGGCGUAAAGGGCGCGUAGGUGGCGUGAUAAGGGUGUGGUGAAAGCCCGGGGCUCAACCCCGGGUCUGCCAUGCCGACUGUCAGGCUAGAGUACUGUAGGGGCAGGCGGAAUUCCGGGUGUAGCGGUGGAGUGCGUAGAUAUCGCUUGGAACGCCGAAGGUGAAAACAGGCUGCUGGGGUUGCGCCGACGCUGAGACACGAAAGCCAGGGGAGCAAACGGG